rnacentral:rRNA from 1 species
AACCUCCGCAAUGUGAGAAAUCGCGACGGGGGGAUCCCAAGUGCCAUUCUUAACGGGAUGGCUUUUCAUUAGUGUAAAGAGCUUUUGGAAUAAGAGCUGGGCAAGACCGGUGCCAGCCGCCGCGGUAACACCGGCAGCUCUAGUGGUAGCAAUUUUUAUUGGGCCUAAAGCGUCCGUAGCCGGUUUAAUAAGUCUCUGGUGAAAUCCUGUAGCUUAACUGUGGGAAUUGCUGGAGAUACUAUUAGACUUGAGACCGGGAGAGGUUAGAGGUACUCCCAGGGUAGAGGUGAAAUUCUGUAAUCCUGGGAGGACCGCCUGUUGCGAAGGCGUCUAACUGGAACGGUUCUGACGGUGAGGGACGAAAGUUAGGGGCGCGAACCGGAUUAGAUACCCGGGUAGUCCUAACUGUAAACGAUGCGGACUUGGUGUUGGGGUGGCUUUGAGCUGCUCCAGUGCCGAAGGGAAGCUGUUAAGUCCGCCGCCUGGAAGUACGGUCGCAAGACUGAAACUUAAAGGAAUU